CUCCUCUCAGGGUUGCACCUGGAGAGUUUCCAGUAUUCGACCAGUCUUGACCAAGGGAGGGAGAGUCAAGCAGAAACAAAUCCAUUCCAUUCCUAGCUUGGGCAGUGGCUAGCGAGUGGAAGGCCAUCUGCUACGAGU